UCGUCUAGGCCUCAGAACUGGAGCGGGCAAUCUCCGUUCUCAACAUUCCAGUUACAUCUCCAGUCUAGCUGUACUUGAUGUCUUGUCAUUGGAUAUCUGAGAGACUUUCCCUUGAUAUUGUAUUAGAAAUCCUUCUUCACUUAAGCUGGGAGUGGGGUGGGGGCUGGAAUAUCUGUUGCUUACACCCAAAUAAUCUGUCAUUAAGACACUGGGCAAACAAGACCCAGUGUCUUACUGACAGGUACAGACUUACCUACAGGGAGAAGGAAGAAACAGCCAUAGGGUUGAGGCACAGGUACCCAUCUGGCCAGGGCAAACUCUGAAUCCAACAAUUGAUAAUGAGAGUUGUCACUGAGGAUAUUCAAAAAUACCUCUCUUGGACAAGCAGAGGAGGUUGAGCCAGAAACCCAGAAGAAGUUCCAAAGAAAUAAGCUUCAGCUUGGCAUGUCCUCACCGGAGCUGAGGGCCAGCAGGAAGCCUCCCAGGCCCCUCAGUGGAGACCGGCUGGCUCUGGAGGUCUGGGAACCCUACCAACCCAGGAGACAGCCACGCUCACAAUAGGCCAAAAUGCAAACAAGUCAUAUGUGUGAAGCCACAAAACUGGGGGAAGGAGAGACACAGCCAACUUUGGGCACGGUGGAUGGAAUUGCUGUUAGGAAAGAUUCCUCAUCCAAGAGCCGAACUGUUCUAAAAGCUAGAAAUGUGACCGUGGCCAAAGGGAAUUGCUGUCUUUUGGAAGCCGACAUACUAACACAGGAAGACACGUGAUGUGUAAGCAAACAGAAAAGAGACUUGAAAUGGAGCAAGAGGGCACAGGAACAACCACCCCUCUUCCAGAACCUGCAGGAACAAGGGUGGGAAGAAAGCCUGCGAGAAAGGGCUGCAGGGCAGACAUCCUCAGGGGGAGUGGAAGAGGACGCCAGGUUUCUGUUGAGGCAAGCAACACAGAGAAAGCAGGGAAGAGAGAAAAAGCAGUUAGGGAAAUUGCUAAAAAAUAACAGACUCCGUUAUAGAGAACACAGAGGAAGGGUGUGGGAGGGCAGGAAAGAGUUGAGCAUGGGGUUAGAUUAGGUAACGGUUCUUAGUCUUGGCUGCACAACAGAAGUGCUUGGGGAAUUUUUAAAAAUACUAAUGCCUGGG